rnacentral:rRNA from 1 species
GACGAACGCUGGCGGCGUGCUUAACACAUGCAAGUCGAACGGAAAGGCCCUGCUUUUGUGGGGUGCUCGAGUGGCGAACGGGUGAGUAACACGUGAGUAACCUGCCCUUGACUUUGGGAUAACUUCAGGAAACUGGGGCUAAUACCGGAUAGGAGCUCCUGCUGCAUGGUGGGGGUUGGAAAGUUUCGGCGGUUGGGGAUGGACUCGCGGCUUAUCAGCUUGUUGGUGGGGUAGUGGCUUACCAAGGCUUUGACGGGUAGCCGGCCUGAGAGGGUGACCGGCCACAAUGGGACUGAGAUACGGCGCAGACGCCUACGGGAGGCAGCAGUGGGGAGUAUUGCACAAUGAGCGGAAGCCUGAUACGGCAACGCCGCGUGCGGGAUGACGGCCUUCGGGUUGUAAACCGCUUUCGCAUGUGACGAAGCGUGAGUGACGGUAAUGGGUAAAGAAGCACCGGCUAACUACGUG